rnacentral:rRNA from 1 species
UACAGAGGAGCCAAGCGUUGUCCGGAUUGACUGGGCGUAAAGCGCACGCAGGCGGAUGCGCGCGUGGGGUGUGAAAUCUGGCCGCUUAACGGCCAGGCGCCAUCCCAUACGGCGCGUCUGGAGUGAUGCAGAGGUCGAUGGAAUUGCCGGUGUAGUGGUGAAAUGCGUAGAGAUCGGCAGGAACACCCAGGGGGAAACCAGUAGACUGGGCAGCUACUGACGCUGAGGUGCGAGAGCGUGGGGAGAGAACCGG